ncrna:Nicotiana tabacum cultivar TN90 Ntab-TN90_scaffold3004, whole genome shotgun sequence
AGGAGCCGUAUGAGAUGAAAAUCUCACGUNGUAAAAAUCUCACGUACGGUUCUGUAAUAGUGAUGUAUAUAAUGAUGUUAUCAUCGACUAUGAU